GGAAAGAAAGGUCCUUCCUCCGUGAGUGGUAGCGUCUGUCGAAUAAAGCGUAGGCAACCUAGGUUUGAGGGUUGGCCGACAGGCUGUUGCUAUUUCCAAAUGGCGUAGCGUUGGUGGACCGAACGACCCUGUGGCGAAAGUGGCCCUGCGGAUAAGAAAUACAUGCAUACUUGCUCGUAAUUCAUAGGUUUCCUUGAGGUCUCUGCAGUGGCCUGAGUCGAAGCAACAUCGGUGGUGGCUUACCUCCGUCUGGCGCGGCUACUUCACAACACUGGCAAAUUUGAGGUGCAGAUGGAAGUGUGCCCUGUUUGUAAGAAUGGAGGCUUUUUGCUGCCCGAUAGUAGCCCCAUAUGAACAAAGGUCUACAUAUGCUGGUACAACCUGCUUGAUGUAUAACGGAACACAGUGUCAUUCUUACCUCAUUACCCGGGCCAACAAGCUGAUGGUGUGAUGCUCCCCAGCAUCCUCUUCAGUCGCGUCGUAAGCAUGCAGCAUCGCAACGGUCUCAUUUGCCGAAUCCUUCGUGUUUACAGAUUGACGAUGUAGCAGAGGACACAGCAAACAUGAUUGCGCUAGCGUGAUGAUGAUGAUGAUGCUGCGGGCAACGGCUGCGAGGACAGUCUCGGUGGUCCCGACGCUUGCCUGAGAACUUAGCCUCUUGUGACGGUUACGUAUGGUUGACGUCAUUUCCUGUCUGAGAGGAAUCCUUGGGCUGCCAACGGCCUACCCGAAAAGCGAAAAUCGAAGAGGCUUACUGUUCGGUUCCCCUCCCUGAUAUGGCCCUUGAGGUGCUGUACAGGAUAAUCUGCUGAUAUUUCUGGCAGAAAUCACCAGGCGUCCAUGACUCCUGCAGUGGCCUUUGGGAGAAAGCACUGACACCUGUGUUUUAAAUACCUCGGGACAUUUUUGAACUUGUCAUCUGGCAGCUAACCAGCAGAGAUUUUUAAAUACCUCGGGACAUUUUUGCACUUGUCAUCUGGCGGCUAACCAGCAGAGAUUUUCUUGUCAUUGUUGAAUGCUCUUUGCAAGCCUGUAGCUGUUUCUCAACUUGAAUGUGGUGCUACAUUCACAUCAUUGCGUAAUUGUUCGGUGAACAUGAUAGAUUAAAAGGCUCAGUUCUUUUCUUUAAGGAAAAAAAAUUCACUUAUGGUUUUGGUUUGCAAUAGUGCAGCACCUUUGCAGUGUUGCUAUUUAGUCUCACACUUUCUCCUACUUCCCACACAUGCGAGACCCUGCGUAUAAACCUACCAUCAUAUGACUGUUGAAAUUUGCUAUAUGCAUUAAUGCUAGGCCAUGUUUAUGCUGUGGGCACUAUACUAAGUUUGUGAGGAGGGCAAGAGUAAAUAAAAACAGUUGAGAGUCACUGGCUGAACCUUGAUGAAAAAUAUCGUCUCAACAGAACUGCAUCAAGGUAUGUUUUCGUUACAGUGUCUGGUAGAGAUCACGAUUAAUUAGUUUAGCGCGUAACACAGUGCCCAUGCAUGAAUUGCUAGCACAUCUUUCUUUCGGCACAUGAUAUGUAGGGUACUGGCACUGGUUACCCUUUGAAGGGGCAGACAUCUAAACGCUGUUAUACUUUUGUAGCAUUUUUAGUUUGCCUACUUGUUUCUAAUGUCCUUAGAAGUUUGUCUUCACUACAAAUGCUAUGUUACGCUUUUUCAAUCCAUUGCACCAACACUGGCUUGCAAUUUCUAUGUUCCCCAAUUUUAUGCCGUCUUUGGCGGACUGAUGCAUAGUUGUCUUGAGCAUACAUUUGUAGAUUAUACUAAAAUGGGGGCCUAGCUCUUCAUUUGGCCCACUCUGGGGCAUUUAUAAAUGAAAAUCCAUACACCACUGUCACCAUCGCCUUUCAGCAUGGUCAAGGAGACUAUGUAUGUGGUUGCUAUGGUUAGGGCUGUACACGGUGGGCACUGGCAGGCAACCUUGUAGUCUCAAUUGCGCGUCAAGCAUGGCCAGGCUUUUGCUGCUGCGUUCACAAAAGGCCUCGGACAGUGUCACACUGUGUUUGUGGACUAGUUUAACUAAACAGAAGGUAACACAUUUUCUCACCUGCUACCAUGCUUUGCUGGAAAUGUUAGUGUUUACUUUAUUUCAUUUCAUUGAUUUUUCUCGCUAACAAGGUUAGAAAAAAAAAAUGAGGCCGGCAAAGAAAUGUUAACGAAAAUGUACGUGCUACAGUGCGUUUCAUAGACACUGCCGUGUGAAGCAGAUGACAGCAUUCAAAGAUUCAUGCUGCCCACCCUGGAACGCCAAAGCAGACGAUAUAGGCAGGGGAAAGUGACUGCAGUGCCACUAAGUUUUCAGGGUUUUUCGCAUCGACCUCACCACUUGCCCCUGGCUCCAGUGGGCCCGCUUCUCGGAUCUAGUACAAUCGAUAUGUGUUAGUAGCAGUGCUAUCUGUUACGUGCUAUGCCGGUUGGAUUAUCCUUAGUACAUCGGUCUAGUACUAGCCUGCAACACAACGUAUAUGCCGCUUCUAUUUUUGUUGCAGAGUUCAAACAGCCAGUCAACAUGCAUUGCUUUAUAUGCGAAUAUGUGAACUGGUGCAUUCACAGGGCUAGUAUUGAUUCUCAAGUAUGGAAAAAGGGACUGUCAAACAUUUUGUCAUAUUUUUUUCACAACUGCAGACAAAAAAAGUAUCCGUGCACCACCCUCAUUAUGUUUCCAUAGGCUAAGAAUCUUUGGACAUGAAAUGUGCUCAAUUUUAUUUGGUUGUGGUAGUUUAAAAUGAUGGAUGUGGUUUGUGUACUUGUCAAGUUCUAUCAGAGAACAAACUGUUAAUAAACUUGUGGACAGUUUUAUGAAAA